GACGAACGCUGGCGGCGUGCUUAACACAUGCAAGUCGAACGAAGAGCGACGGAAGCUUGCUUCUCUCAAUCUUAGUGGCGAACGGGUGAGUAACGCGUAAUCAACCUGCCCUUCAGAGGGGGACAACAGUUGGAAACGACUGCUAAUACCGCAUACGAUCUAACCUCGGCAUCGAGGAUAGAUGAAAGGUGGCCUCUACAUGUAAGCUAUCACUGAAGGAGGGGAUUGCGUCUGAUUAGCUAGUUGGAGGGGUAACGGCCCACCAAGGCGAUGAUCAGUAGCCGGUCUGAGAGGAUGAACGGCCACAUUGGGACUGAGACACGGCCCAGACGCCUACGGGAGGCAGCAGUGGGGAAUCUUCCGCAAUGGACGAAAGUCUGACGGAGCAACGCCGCGUGAGUGAUGACGGCCUUCGGGUUGUAAAGCUCUGUUAAUCGGGACGAAAGGCCUUCUUGCGAAUAGUGAGAAGGAUUGACGGUACCGGAAGAGAAAGCCACGGCUAACUACGUG
rnacentral:rRNA from 1 species